rnacentral:rRNA from 1 species
CCUACGGGUGGCAGCAGUGGGGAAUAUUGCACAAUGGGGGGAACCCUGAUGCAGCGACGCCGCGUGAGUGAAGAAGUAAUUCGGUAUGUAAAGCUCUAUCAGCAGGGAAGAAAAUGACGGUACCUGAGUAAGAAGCCCCGGCUAACUACGUGCCAGCAGCCGCGGUAAUACGUAGGGGGCAAGCGUUAUCCGGAUUUACUGGGUGUAAAGGGAGCGUAGACGGCAGUGCAAGUCUGGAGUGAAAGGCAGGGGCUCAACCCCCGGACUGCUCUGGAAACUGUACGGCUGGAGUGCAGGAGAGGUAAGUGGAAUUCCUAGUGUAGCGGUGAAAUGCGUAGAUAUUAGGAGGAACACCAGUGGCGAAGGCGGCUUACUGGACUGUAACUGACGUUGAGGCUCGAAAGCGUGGGGAGCAAACAGGAUUAGAUACCCGAGUAGUC